GUUGGGAUCCAGAGAGAAUUCAAAGUGAAUUGAGACACUUAGUCUCUUAAUUGAAAGCUUAAGUUGGAAAAGUCGAUCGGAUGUCGAUUUAUGUGUAAACGACCUCGAAUUUGAAUUUUGAUGGUUCUGUUAGCUCCGUUGGGUAUAAAGACUUUUAUUUAAAAUAUAGUAUUUAAUGGUCAUUACAACAUGAGAUUUGCCUAGGCCACAUAGUGCCUAUUCUAUCUCUAUCAAAAAUAGAAAUAGCAAAAGCGGGAGGAUAAUAAUACAAUAUUAAUUUAUCAAAAGAGCCUAGGCUGCAUCCAUUCUUGGCUAAUUUAUCCGCUACUCUAUUAGCUUCUCGGAAUGCAUGCUUUAAAAGUGGUGUUCCUGUCCCUGUCAAUAGGAACCUGCAAUCAUCAAUAAUAUUUUGAUAAAGACAAUUAUCAUUUGUUAGCAUGUUGAUGAGGUCCUGGCUGUCCGUUUCGAUGAUUAGUGUUGUUAGUCUUUUUUGGAUGACUAGUUUUAACCCCUAUAGGAGGGACAUGAUUUCAUGUGGAUGUUUGUGGUAUGAGUGAACCCCAUAUUAAAUUCUAGUAGCCAAUUUCCAUUGUUAUCCCUAAAUGUUCCUCCUCUACCUGGAUUUCCCAGGCAUGAGCCAACGAUAUUUAAUUUGAAAACCCCCUCGAUAGUGGGUUCCCAUUUGAUAUGUAUAGUUUUCUUUGGUAUAUUAGCAGGGGCACAUUUGCCUAUAAAAUGAAUUCCUAGGCACUACUUAUUAAAUGGCUAAUGUUAGGAUAUGAGUUGCUUCCUUGAAAGAUCCUUCAAUUUCUGGUGGGCCAGAUAUACCAAAGAAGGAAAGGUAGAAAAACUGGCCAACUGAUGUAUUGGUUGAAGCCCAUUUUUGAUUUCAGUUGAUAUUUCAGCCAGUUGAAGAUGAUAAGCUCAUUGUCUAGCCGUUGUGGAUAGCUAUGCUUUAUGUGGCAUUGCUCCCAUAUUACCUUUGAAUAAGUGCAUCUGAAUAGGAUAUGCUCGGUGUCCUCUUUUUCCAAUCCACAAAUACUACACGUGUCAAUAGGGCAGAUAUUGCGUUUUGACAAAAGAGUGGCAGUUGGGAAUCUGUUUAGGACAAGAAGCCACAUAAAAUAUUUUAAUUUGUUAAGGAUAUUAUGAUAGCAUCAAGGACAAGGAUAGAGUUUUGGAAUAUCCAAGAAGGCCAUUUACAAGAUUUCAAGCUAAAGAAUUGCAGACUAAGGUUGUUGUACUUCAAUGGCAAAUAAAGAAGCUUUUAAUUAUGGAGGACGAGAUCAAGCCCAAAGGAGAUGAAUUGUACAACUUUUAGAAUCAUUUGGUGGCCCAAAUUGAAGUCCAAGAGGAGGAAGAUUGGGUCCCAAACUCGGCCCUUGAAAUCCAGCAAAAGGGCACCGAGAAGAGUUCAAAAUGAGCGAAAAAGAGGUCCAAAAGGUUUGUUUGAAAAGGAGUCCAAUUGGAGUCCAAACCAAUGGCCCCAAUUUGUAGUUUUAAGGCCCAAAUCUGCCCCAAAGGGAUUUGGCCGGCCCCUAUCUAAUUUUAAUGGCUUUUUUUUAUUUCUUAGCAACCACCCUACCUAAUUUUAAUGACUUUUUGUAUCCCUUAGCAGCCACCCUACCUAAUUUUAAGAACUUUUACUCCUAUAAAUAAGGUGUUCUUCUCAUUCAUUGAGGCACUUCUUUAUUGAUUAAGAAUAUUAUACUUUGGGAGUUAUUUUGAACCUUUGUUACUUAUACUUUGAGAUUUAUCUUUCAACCUUUAUUAGUUCUUAGUUCAAGGUAGUAAGAUAACUUCUUUAUUGUAAUAUCAUUGAUUACUUUAUGGUAUUCUUAGAAGGCGAUUAAUAUGAGUUAUUAAUUGUUAUCAAAAGUUACUCGUAAAUGGGUCAAGAUUUGAAUCUAUUGUUUUAAUUUAUUUUUAAGUAAAGGCGUUUGAUUUCGUCAAUAAAUCAAAACGUUGUUGCUUGGAUCUUGUCAAGGCUAUAGAACUUGCAUUCUUAGAAGGUCUUGGAAUUUUUUCUUUGAAUUUUCCCGUAUCCUUUAUUUUCUGCACUUUAAUUCUAGUUGUUCAAUUCCUUAUUGUUAUUGCUUCCGUAUUUACUUCUCAUAUUCUUACUCUAAUUUGGAUCCCCGACCUUGUUGUUAUCAUAUUACAUUUCCAAAUCCAAGUGUAAUCUAGAUUAUUAUCCAAAUCAAUAUUGUCUUGGUUUGACAUAACAUCAUAGGUAGCCUUGAUGAAGAAGGAGCUAUGGCCAGGAGAAUUCCAGGUGAUUUUGUCCGUACUUAGUUGAAAUUGCUUGAUAUAAGUACUAUGAAUUUUUUGAUUGACAUUUUUCGGGAGUUCGAAAGAUAAUUUUGAUAGAUUGAAGUGGUCAUUGAUAUUACGUUCAUGUUUAAUUCUUCUUUAUUAAAGGGCCCAUGACUUAAUUGUCUAAGGGUGCCCCCGUGACUAAUCCAUUGGCUAUCCCAAAAGUUAAUAUUUGUGCCAUUUCCUAUUAGCCAUUUGGUACCUUUCUCGCAAACCUUAAGCCCUUACAGAUAUUUUUUCAUAUAUGGGAUGUAGAUGAACUAGGAUUAAUCAUGAUGUUUGUAGUGACUCUACUACCAUACUCGUUGCGCAUCACUUGAACCCAUAGGACCUCCUUAUUACUAUAGUAUCUCCAUGCCAUGCUAGCAUUAAAGGUAUCAUUCUUCCAGCGGGUUUUAUAUAGGCCUAAUCCCCCCUUGUUUUUUUGGCGUGAUGACUUUAUUCCAAUUUAGGAGAUGGCAUUUCCUUUUCUCCUCCAUACUACCCCAUAAGAAGUUAUGUUGGAUAGAGUCGAUCUUAUUUAGGGAGGCUAUAGGAAGGCUAAAAAUUUGUAUAGUGUGGUUGGGAAUGGCCGCGAGAGAGUUUUAAUGAGAGUGGUUCUUCCCGCUAGGUUUAGGAAAUGAGUUUUCCAACCCUUAAGUGUGUUGAGUUGUUUAGAGUAGUAAUCCAUUAUGCCGUAAAGCUUCUCUAUUGUAGACAUUUUAUUACUAUACAUGUUUAUUAGUAGUAUUAUUUUAUGGGAAAGGGGCCAAAUAUACCCCUUUACUUUGGUAUAUUAUUCAUAUUUACCCUCCAUUAUACUAUCGGGAUAUAUCUACCCUUACCGUUAAUAAUUUUUUUUAAAAAUACCCAUCAUCUAACGGAAUUCACCAUAUUAAUAAAAUAAUCAUUUUAAAAAAAACUCAUUAACCCAUAACCUGUUAAACCCAUCAUAUAAAAAUACGGAACCUAGAUUUCUGAGACGUCUUAACACAUUUUAUUCAUUUAGAGAGAGACGAGAAUAAUGAUGGAAGUAGGAUUAGUAAGAAUUUAUAUUUUUGGUUCUUAGUUGUUCAUGGUGGUGUUAGGAUGUUAUGCUAUCACUUUUGGUUGUAUUUUUUGUGGUUAUAAUAUGGCAUCCCUUUGUCUAAUGCCAUAUUAUACAUACCAAGAAUAUGAAUAUAUGAUUGUCGGUAUUUUUAUGUCUUUCACGUCUUAAGUUCAACAAAUGACUACGAAGGAGAUGACUAAUUUGUAAGGAAGAAGUGCAGUAAAUAAAAAAGAUUUAACGGGUUAUUAAUGGAUUUUAAAAAAAUAGGUUUUUUUUAUAAUUUGGUGGCUUCUCGCUAGGUGGGGGGUAUUUUUAAAAAGUUUGGUUAACGGUUAGGAUAGAUGUGACCUUAUAGUAUAGCAGAUGGUAAAUAUGAAUAAUAUACUAAAGUAGAAGGGUAUAUUUGGCCUUGUCUCCUUAUUUUAUUACUUAUAUGGUCUUUUGUUUAAAUAUCUUAAAUAGGAAAAGUACGGACUUUUAAGUUGACUUUUUUAGUUUUAUCUCUUAAAGUAAAUAAAUAGGAAUCAUGAGUCCACUUGUUAAGUAAUAAAGAAACUUAUAAGUAUGACUUUACAUGUGAAAUACAAAAUAAUUUUUUUUGUUUUCUCUAUACUCCGCCAUUCUUGCUGCUUAUUCUUUCUUCUUCUGUUGAUGUAGUAUUUGAUCAAAGGUAGACAAAUAACAUGAUGCUCUCAUGGAAUACAAUUUUAUCUCCAUAUGUAGUUAUUCUUAAUGGAAAACGCUUCAAGAAAGAUGAGAUUUUUAAAAAAAUCAUAUAAGAGAAAAGUGUAAGCUCCCAAAGCGUACCUGGAAAUCUCUUUAAGAGUCCAUGGCACGCUUAAGACGUUGGACUCCCACAAAAGGUGAUUAAGAGUAUCAUGGAUGCAUGUAGGCUCAAAUGGUGAACCGUGACACCACUUCGUUGGAAAAAUUUACUAAAUUUGUUAAUGAUAGAUGAUAUGCUAAAAGCGAAUAAGAUAUAAACAAAG
rnacentral:lncRNA from 1 species